CCAAGAGUCACUCUUGAAUCGACUGGUAUGGUGCAGAAACCCAGCCUCACGCAGGGGCAGGGUGGCCUGAGGAGGCUCUGGUUUCCCCUGUGUCCCCGCGCCCUCGCGCUCGCCCCCGCCCUGGCGCUCUGGAGGGUGGACAUCUAUUCGUGUGGGAGCGAGUAGUUCCCACCCAGCCCACUCUGGGCUUCUCCUUUAUUAACUGUUGGAAAGGUACCAGCUGUGUGCUUGUCACUCUGUCAUUUACCUGUCACUUGGCUGCCUCACCCAGGCCUCGACACCGAGCAGGACUGCCCAGGCGCAGCCAGGCCCAGCUGGCGUGGGGGCCCCUCUACCACUGUCCCCGACUAGGACUCCACACAUCACAGAGGUACACAACGUGCAUGGUGAUGCUGGCAGAAUGGGUAGAAAGGCCCUGGGGCUGAGUCCAGGGUGGCUGUGGGGGCUGGGCCCUGGGGCUGGGCCUGGGCGUCCAACUCCCUGGGCAUCAGGGCCAGGACUGCAGAGGCCGGGGGCCAGGGGCCGGGGUUGCCCUGCUCAGGGAGCUCCCACCUUGCCGAGCAGUAGUUAAUGUGUCUGGAGAAGAAACCCAAAGUCACAGGCAGGACAAACCUUCAAGGAGCACUUUCAAGCUUCCAGAAGUAAACGACGAGAGGCCCAGGGUCAGUUCACGCCCCGUGGUCAGCCCUGGGGUGUGGAGGUAGAGGGGACCCACAGGCGUCCAGGCACAGAGCUGCUUGGGAGCAGAAGCAGCAAGCUGGCCUUCAGCAUUGCCUAGUGACAUGACACACUGGAGGAAAUCAGGGGACACCUACAGUUUCCAGGAUGCAAGUGAGCAGCUUCGUCCCACCCAGAUCACCCAGGUGAGGCUGCAG
rnacentral:lncRNA from 1 species